GGCAGAAAUACAGUGAUCACAAUGUUGCCAAGUAAACCAAAAUCUGGUAUACGAAAAAGGAAAGAGAGAAAAGAGAGAGAGGAAAGACAAAGGAAAGGAUGUCAAUCUGGAACCCAGUUUUUCCCCAAGACAGCAGACUAACAACAGAUGAGUCAGCAGAACCCCAGUCUCCCCGUAACAGUAGCCCUCCCUGUCUCAGUGAAGAAGUCUCUCUCCCAGCAGACCAAUCAAGGCUUUUCUGCACACCUACAAUCAAGCCUUGCAGUUCUAAAGCCACGGCUCUGCAUUUCAUUCUUCUGUUCACUUCAUGGUACUCAUGCUAUGGCCAACUUUGAAAGACUCUCAUUGGGAUUUUUGUUCCUGUUACCAGAUUAUUCUCUGACUCCUGUGUUUUUCUCCCAGAGAAGGAUAAGUCAGUCCAUCUGCCUUGUUAAGUUUUGCCCUGCUUAUACCCUUAACAGUAGUCUGCCUGUUCGUGGAAAUUGCUAGCCAGGAACUCACUAUCACACAUUUCUGUAUAUUUGUCAAAAAAAAUUGUGACUUUUUAUUUUACUUCUUAGCUGCUUUCCUUAACACUAUGAGCUGUAGGCGAAACUCACUAACUUGCGCCAAUACUUUUGCAGUCACAUGAUUUCAAUGACGCUUGAAAUUCAGAAUGAGACAGGAAGUGAAAGCAGAAUGGACGAGAUGUAGGAAAGCCUUUACUGUGCUAGUUAUUGUUUACUCAUUGUGUCUUCCCAGUCAAAAUGUGUGUGAAAUCCGGAAUUGCCCAAUUCAUUCUUAAAUUACGGCUAAAAAAAAACUAUUUUGAGCUCACAAUUACCUCUGACCUUUGAGUCAAAAGUAUCACCUAUUCGGUGUCUGACCUACUGUGAAAUAUGGUCACAGUCUCCCUAUUUGGAGUUAUGGAGUUGAAAGUGCCAUUUUUUCAACACAUUAUGAUGUCACAGUGAAGUUGAGCUUUCAACUCUUGUCAAAUGAGUCGACCAUGUGGUCUGCAGUUCUUCAGUUAUGGCAGUUAAGACAUUCCUGAGGUAUCAUAUUCAUGAGACUAGGAAUAACCCACAGGCACAGAGGCAUAAAAACAGGGUCAGACUGAAGGGAUAGUUCACCCAAAUCACAAAAGUAAACAUUUUCUUACUUACCCUGAGUGGUGUCUGGUUAUGUAAUAGUUGGUGUCAUCUGUUGAGGUUUUGAGAUGUCUGUCCCUGAAAGUUUUUUUUUUUUUUUUGUGGUGUUUAAAGCAUUAAAAAUGUUUUCUUCAAUUCUA